rnacentral:rRNA from 1 species
AUUGAACGCUGGCGGCAUGCUUUACACAUGCAAGUCGAACGGCAGCGGGGUAGUGCUUGCACUACUGCCGGCGAGUGGCGAACGGGUGAGUAAUAUAUCGGAACGUACCGAGUAAUGGGGGAUAACCAAUCGAAAGAUUGGCUAAUACCGCAUACGUCCUGAGGGAGAAAGCGGGGGAUCGCAAGACCUCGCGUUAUUCGAGCGGCCGUUAACUGAUUCGCUAGUUGGUGGGGUAAAGGCCUACCAAGGCGACGAUCAGUAGCGGGUCUGAGAGGACGAUCCGCCACACUGGGACUGAGACACGGCCCAGACUCCUACGGGAGGCAGCAGUGGGGAAUUUUGGACAAUGGGGGCAACCCUGAUCCAGCCAUGCCGCGUGUAUGAAGAGGGCCUUCGGGUUGUAAAGUACUUUUGUUAGGGAAGAAAAGGGAAGUGCUAAUACCACUUUUUGCUGACGGUACCUAAAGAAUAAGCACCGGCUAACUACGUG